rnacentral:tRNA from 1 species
AGUAGCUGGGUGCUGGUGUGCCCCCUGGUCUUCAAAACCAGUGUGGGCGGCGAGCGGCCGCCCGGGUGGGUUCGAUUCCCACAUACCCC